GGUUCCAGGGAGGUUCUGAGAACGUCUUACUAUGGAUCCAGGGAGGUUCUGAGAACGUCUUUCUAUGGUUCCAGGGAGGUUCUGAGAACGUCUAACUAUGGUUCCCUGAAAGUUUUGAUGGGAGGAUUUAUUAACGCUCAGAGAAUACACAUUUUCAUUUGGAGGUUUUUGAGUGUCCCCACAAUAGCUAUCUUUUCACGUGGCAGCGACUGGUAAGACGAUUUAGGAGGGAGGUUAGCAAGGCAGAGGUACUCGUCAAGCAAG
ensembl:lncRNA